GACGGCUCAGUGGUUAAGAGCACUGACUGUUCUUCAAAGGUCCUGAGUUCAAAUCUCAGAAACA
rnacentral:tRNA from 1 species